GAGCUGCCCUAGGGUGGAAGCGCAGCGGCUGGCGCGGGAAGUCCCUUCUCCGAGCCCACCGGGGUCCCACCUGCUGCGGCUCCACCUCCUCCGAGCUGGCCCUGCCUGUCAGACCUCGUGGCUUUGCAGGGACCCCACCGUGGCUGUACGCCCCGCCCCGAUUACCAUGGAGACGGCUUGUACACAGUUUCCCCUUUCCUCCGCCCAGUCCUGGGGUCCCACGGCCGCCUAGGUGGGAGCCCGCCAGGUCGGGGCGGGGCCGGGCGCCCAUGAACAGCGGGGUCCCGGCCACCCUGGCCGUGCGGAGAGUGACAUUCUUCGGCCGUCACGGCGGGGAGGUCAAUUCCUCUGCCUUCUCCCCUGAUGGCCAGAUGCUGCUCACAGGCUCAGAGGAUGGCUGCGUGUACGGCUGGGAGACCCGGAGUGGGCAGCUGCUGUGGAGGCUGGGUGGCCACACAGGCCCCGUGAAGUUCUGCCGCUUCUCCCCUGAUGGCCACCUCUUCGCCAGCGCCUCCUGUGACUGCACUGUCCGCCUGUGGGACGUGGCAAGAGCCAAAUGUCUGCGGGUCCUGAAGGGUCACCAACGGAGUGUGGAGACGGUCAGCUUCAGCCCUGACUCGACGCAGCUGGCAUCAGGUGGCUGGGACAAGCGGGUGAUGCUUUGGGAAGUGCAGUCUGGCCAGAUGCUGCGCCUCUUAGUUGGGCACCGCGACUCCGUCCAGAGCAGCGACUUCUCACCCACGGUGAACUGCCUGGUGAGCCUAACCUCUGCCCUGGGCCCCACCGUGGUGGCCCCAUACCCACUUGGAACGGAGCGGUGGGAAGAGGAUGGACUCCAGGACCCACCUAAAUGCGGAGUGGGUGGGGAGCUGGCGGGGCCAGACUCACGGAAGCUGCCUGCAGGCCACCGGCUCCUGGGACUCCACCAUACGCAUCUGGGACCUGCGGACGGGGACCCCAGCCGUCUCCCACCAGGCGCUAGAGGGACACAGUGGCAACAUCAGCUGCUUGUGCUACUCAGCAUCUGGCCUCCUGGCCUCCGGUUCCUGGGACAAGACCAUCCACAUCUGGAAGCCCACAACCAGCAGCCUGCUUAUCCAACUGAAGGGCCACGUCACCUGGGUGAAGAGCAUAGCCUUCUCUCCCAACGAGCUGUGGCUGGCCAGCGCUGGCUAUUCCCGCAUGGUAACCACCCCAGGCCUGUCCCGCUCCUACCUACCCACCUUCCCUCCACCAGGAGCCCUCAGCACUCACUCCAGAAGGCCCACAUCCCCACUUGCCCUAGCUAGGAGGGGGCAAGGGCAGGACCCAGGUGCCAGCCUCUCCACCUAAUGGCCAGCAAAGUCAGGGCUGGCCCACUGGCAACUGCAUUGACAUUUCCACAACCCAAAUGGCAUCAGGCAGAAGGGAACUCCUGCUCUGAAAUGUCAAAUACAGCCCACAAACAAAACCUACACCAAGAGGCUCAGAUGUUCUUUGGGCCAGGGGCGGUGGCUCACACCUGUAAUCCCAGCACUUUGGGAGGUAGAGGUAGGUGGAUCACCUGAGGUCACGAGUUCAGGCAAAGACUCCAUCUCAAAAAAAAUGUCUGGGACUUUCCUGGAGGUGGCUUCAGACACCACAGUGGCCUGGCGAGGCUUCCUGCCAUGCCCCCUCCUUUUCCAGGUCAAAGUCUGGGACUGCAACACAGGGAAGUGCCUUGAGACCCUGAAGGGAGUCCUGGAUGUGGCCCACACCUGUGCCUUCACCCCAGAUGGGAAAAUCUUAG